AUCAUUGUAUUCACCCUCCAAGGGUUCUUGGUGGAGAGCUAGUUUGCGUGAUCCGUGUUCGCAUCCCACUGAAUUAUCCUACGACCCUGAGGCUGACGUCGCGGGAAUAAUCCAUUGUUUCGAUUCUGACGAACAGAUUCAAGAUGAUGGAACCAGCGAGACCCCUCCGGAUACUCAGGAGGAUAGGCGUUGUGUUCCCGGUUUUUGGUUUCUGCAUCGUCUUCGGUACCUAUCUUGAGAGACAGCAGCGGAAAAACUACACCAGAUUCCGCGGCCAGAGCCAGCUGUACGGCAAGCCGUCCAAACCGGGAGAUCCCCUACCAUGGGAGUGACAGAGCCGACACCCGUGCGACGGAAUGACGGAAACUAGUUCGCUUGAUAAGCUGUUUAUAUAAAGUGAGAUCAUACAGUU